rnacentral:lncRNA from 1 species
CACCGACGGAGCAAAGCCGCAGGGUCCAGGACUGCUACCAUGGUGAUGGAUUGAGGAUCAUUCUCCACCACUGUCACAGGAAGGACAUAUCAGUCUUGGUCCUCUGUGACACCACACCAGCAUCAGAGGACCACAGAAUACUACCCAAAUGGCCUGACCAGGAACAACUGCAAGAAUCCAGAUGCUGAGAUUCACCCUUGGAGUUACACCAUGGGUCCCAGUGUCAGGUGGGAGUACUGCAGCCUGAUGCAAUGCCUGGUGACAGAAUCAAGUGUCCUCAUGACUCCCACUGUGGUCCUAAUUCCAAGCACAGAGACUCCUUUUGAACCAGCACCAGCUGAGCAAAGUCCUGCAGUCCAGGAGUGCUACCAAGGUGAUGAACAGAGCUAUUGAGGCAAUUUUUCACCAUAUCACAGGAAGAACAUGUCAGUCUUGGUCCUCUAUGACCCCACACUGGCACCGGUGGAUUUUACUGCACUAUCCAAAAGC